rnacentral:rRNA from 1 species
UCAAGCUACAAAGGGCGCAUGGUGAAUGCCUUGGCAUCAGGAGCCGAUGAAGGACGUGAUAAGCUGCGAUAAGCUUCGGGUAGGCGCACAUAGCCAGAGAUCCGGAGAUUUCCGAAUGGGGAAACCCGCAUGAGAAACCUCAUGCAUCGUAAAGUGAAUACAUAGCUUUAUGAAGGAACACCUAGGGAACUGAAACAUCUAAGUACCUAGAGGAAGAGAAAGAAAAAUCGAUUUUCUUAGUAGCGGCGAGCGAAAAGGAAAGAGCCCAAACCAGAGAUUUAUCUCUGGGGUUGCGGACAGAACAUAACGUGAAAUUAUGAUUAACCGAACACAACUGGAAAGUUGGACCGUAGGAGGUAAUAGUCCUGUAAGUAAAAGUCAUAAUAAUCAGUUCUGCACCAGAGUACCACGAGACACGUGAAACCUUGUGGGAAGCAGGGAGGACCACCUCCCAAGGCUAAAUACUACCUGAUGACCGAUAGUGAAGCAGUACCGUGAGGGAAAGGUGAAAAGAACCCCGGGAGGGGAGUGAAAUAGAACCUGAAACCAUGUGCCUACAACCGAUCAAAGCACCUUAUGUGUGUGAUGAUGUGCUUUUUGUAGAACGAGCCAACGAGUUACGGUAUGUAGCGAGGUUAAGUACUUAAGGUACGGAGCCGAAGGGAAACCGAGUCUUAAUAGGGCGACUAGUUGCAUGCUGUAGACCCGAAACCGGGUGACCUAUCCAUGGCCAGGUUGAAGCGAGGGUAAAACCUCGUGGAGGACCGAACCACGUUGCUGUUGAAAAAGCAUGGGAUGAGCUGUGGAUAGCGGAGAAAUUCCAAUCGAACUCGGAUAUAGCUGGUUCUCCUCGAAAUAGCUUUAGGGCUAGCGUCGUGAAAUGUGAGUACUGGAGGUAGAGCACUGAAUAGGCUAGGGGGCAUAGCGCUUACCGAACCUUAUCAAACUCCGAAUGCCAGAUACUAUCAGCACGGCAGUCAGACUAUGAAAGAUAAGUUCCAUGGUCAAAAGGGAAACAGCCCAGAUCGUCAGCUAAGGUCCCAAAGUGUAAGUUAAGUGGAAAAGGAUGUGGGAUUUCUAAGACAACUAGGAUGUUGGCUUAGAAGCAGCCACUCAUUAAAAGAGUGCGUAAUAGCUCACUAGUCAAGAGAUCCUGCGCCGAAAAUGUCCGGGGCUCAAACUUACCACCGAAGCUACGGGUUCAUACUUUGUAUGAGCGGUAGAGGAGCGUCGUAAUCGGGCUGAAGUCGUACCGUAAGGAGCGGUGGACUGAUUACGAGUGAGAAUGUUGGCAUUAGUAGCGAGAUGUAGGUGAGAAUCCUACAGGCCGAAUAUCUAAGGUUUCCUGAGUAAAGUUUGUCUUCUCAGGGUUAGUCGGGACCUAAGGCGAGGCCGAGAGGCGUAGUCGAUGGACAAUUGGUUGAUAUUCCAAUACCACUAUAAUCGUUAUUAUCGAUGGUGUGACGGAGAAGGAUAGGAUGUGCCAGCUAUUGGAUGCUGGUCUAAGCGUUGAGGGAGUUAGAACAGGCAAAUCCGUUCUAACAAUCCUAGGGCGUGAUGGGGAAGGUUCUACGGAACCGAAGUAUCUGAUUUCAUGCUUCCAAGAAAAGCAUCUAGAAAGAGAAGUAGUGCCCGUACCGCAAACCGACACAGGUAGAUGAGGAGAGAAUCCUAAGGCCGACGGAAGAAUCACAGUUAAGGAACUAGGCAAAUUGACCCCGUAACUUCGGGAGAAGGGGUGCCUACCAAUUGGUAGGCCGCAGAGAAUAGGCACAAGCAACUGUUUAACAAAAACACAGGUCUCUGCUAAAGCGUAAGCUGAUGUAUAGGGGCUGACGCCUGCCCGGUGCUGGAAGGUUAAGGGGAACACUUAGCGCAAGCGAAGGUGUGAACUUAAGCCCCAGUAAACGGCGGCCGUAACUAUAACGGUCCUAAGGUAGCGAAAUUCCUUGUCAGGUAAGUUCUGACCCGCACGAAUGGCGUAAUGACUUGUGCACUGUCUCAACUGUGAAUCCGGCGAAGUUGUAGUGCGAGUGAAGAUGCUCGCUACCCGCGAUUGGACGGAAAGACCC